AGUGAACGCUGGCGGUAGGCCUAACACAUGCAAGUCGAACGGCAGCACAGUAAGAGCUUGCUCUUACGGGUGGCGAGUGGCGGACGGGUGAGGAAUACAUCGGAAUCUACUUUUUCGUGGGGGAUAACGUAGGGAAACUUACGCUAAUACCGCAUACGACCUACGGGUGAAAGCAGGGGAUCUUCGGACCUUGCGCGAUUGAAUGAGCCGAUGUCGGAUUAGCUAGUUGGCGGGGUAAAGGCCCACCAAGGCGACGAUCCGUAGCUGGUCUGAGAGGAUGAUCAGCCACACGGGAACUGAGACACGGUCCAGACUCCUACGGGAGGCAGCAGUGGGGAAUAUUGGACAAUGGGCGCAAGCCUGAUCCAGCCAUACCGCGUGGGUGAAGAUGGCCUUCGGGUUGUAAAGCCCUGUUGUUGGGAAAGAAAAGCAGCAGGUUAAUACCGCGCUGUUCUGACGGUACCCAAAGAAUAAGCACCGGCUAACUUCGUG
rnacentral:rRNA from 1 species